GACGGAGGGUGCAAGCGUUGCUCGGAAUCAUUGGGCGUAAAGGGUGCGUAGGCGGCUUUUUAAGUCUGACGUGAAAGCCCAGGGCUUAGCCUUGGAAGUGCGCCAGAAACUGGAAGGCUAGAGUGCCGGAGGGGAGAGUGGAAUUCCUGGUGUAGCGGUGAAAUGCGUAGAUAUCUGGAGGAACACCGGUGGCGAAGGCGGCAUCCUGGACCGACACUGACGCUGAGGAGCGAAAGCGUGGGGAGCGAACAGG
rnacentral:rRNA from 1 species